CAGCCGUAAACUAUGCUCGCUAGGUGUCAGGCAUGGCGCGACCGUGUCUGGUGCCGCAGGGAAGCCGUGAAGCGAGCCACCUGGGAAGUACGGCCGCAAGGCUGAAACUUAAGGAAUUGGCGGGGGAGCACAACAACGGGUGGAGCCUGCGGUUUAAUUGGACUCAACGCCGGGAAGCUCACCGGAUAAGACAGCGGAAUGAUUGCCGGGCUGAAGACUCUGCAUGACUAGCUGAGAGGAGGUGCAUGGCGUAGACGUCU
rnacentral:rRNA from 1 species